CAAGGAUUCCCCUAGUAACGGCGAGUGAAGCGGGAAGAGCUCAAAUUUGAAAUCUGGCAGUCUUCGAUUGUCCGAGUUGUAAUCUAUAGAGGCGUUUUCCGUGCCGGACCGUGUCCAAGUCUCCUGGAAAGGAGUAUCAAAGAGGGUGAUAAUCCCGUACUUAACACGACCACCGGUGCUCUGUGAUACGUCUUCUACGAGUCGAGUUGUUUGGGAAUGCAGCUCAAAAUGGGUGGUGAAUUCCAUCUAAAGCUAAAUAUUGGCGAGAGACCGAUAGCGAACAAGUACCGUGAGGGAAAGAUGAAAAGCACUUUGGAAAGAGAGUUAAACAGUACGUGAAAUUGUUGAAAGGGAAACGAUUGAAGUCAGUCGUGUUCUUUGGAUUCAGCCAGUUCUGCUGGUCUACUUCCUUGGAACGGGUCAACAUCAGUUUUGUCCGGUGGAUAAAGGUAGUAGGAAUGUGACUUCUCCGGAAGUGUUAUAGCCUAUUAUCACAUACACUGGGUGAGACUGAGGACUGCAGCUCGCCUUUAUGGCCGGCCUUCGGGCACGUUCGAGCUUAGGAUGUUGACAUAAUGGCUUUAAACGACCCGUCUUGAAACAC
rnacentral:rRNA from 1 species